rnacentral:misc_RNA from 1 species
AGUAAUGCCUCACACGGCUUUGAAAGAAAAGAGUUGAGGAAAUUUUUCCGCUUAAUGAAAUUAAGUUCGGAGAAGGUUUUCCGGUUUAUCCCGGAGGGCUUGUAGCUCAGUUGGUUAGAGCGCGCGCUUGAUAAGCGUGAGGUCGGAGGUUCAAGUCCUCCCAGGCCCACCAAUUUAUGUGUCAGUGUAUAAGCGCCUAUGAAUUUUUAGAUGAAGUGUGCUCAUAGAACUUUUAAGACUGUGAGGCUUCUCUAUUUUGCUUAAGUGAUCAAAAGUUGAAGUUUUAUCCUUUCUCCUGUUUUAGGGGCCGUAGCUCAGCUGGGAGAGCACCUGCUUUGCAAGCAGGGGGC